UGAAGAUACCGUUCACAUUGUUGUUCCUGGCGCACACAACUCUGAAAUGUAGCUUCAAAAAAUUGUUGAAAUAAUCAACGACAACCAGUUCAGAUAUGACAAGUCACCAGCUACGAUCGAAAAGGCACAAAAAGAUGGAAUACCUGACCUGCAAGUGAAGGUU